AACGAACGCUGGCGGCAGGCUUAACACAUGCAAGUCGAGCGCCCCGCAAGGGGAGCGGCAGACGGGUGAGUAACGCGUGGGAAUCUACCCAUCUCUACGGAGUAACGCAUGGAAACGUGUGCUAAUACCGUAUACGUCCUCCGGGAGAAAGAUUUAUCGGAGAUGGAUGAGCCCGCGUUGGAUUAGCUAGUUGGUGGGGUAAAGGCCUACCAAGGCGACGAUCCAUAGCUGGUCUGAGAGGAUGAUCAGCCACACUGGGACUGAGACACGGCCCAGACUCCUACGGGAGGCAGCAGUGGGGAAUAUUGGACAAUGGGCGCAAGCCUGAUCCAGCCAUGCCGCGUGAGUGAUGAAGGCCCUAGGGUUGUAAAGCUCUUUCACCGGUGAAGAUAAUGACGGUAACCGGAGAAGAAGCCCCGGCUAACUUCGUGCCAGCAGCCGCGGUAAGAC
rnacentral:rRNA from 1 species